GUAGUCAUAUGCUUGUCUCAGAGAUUAAGCCAUGCAUGUCCAAGUACAUACCUUCAAACGGUGAAACCGCGAAUGGCUCAUUAAAUCAGCUAUGGUUCCUUAGAUCGUACAUACUACAUGGAUAACUGUAGUAAUUCUAGAGCUAAUACAUGCCACUAUGCCCUGACCCGCGAGGGAACGGGUGGAUUUAUUAGAACAGAACCAACCGGGAGUGGCUUCGGUCAUUCCUGUUGCAUUCUGUGAUGACUCUGGAUAACUUCACUGAUCGCAGUCGGCCUUGUGUCGGCGACGGAUCCUUCAAAUGUCUGCCCUAUCAAUUUACGAUGGCAGGUGACCUGCCUACCAUGGUUCCAACGGGUAACGGGGAAU
rnacentral:rRNA from 1 species